rnacentral:snRNA from 12 species
AGGCUCACCCAUUGCAUUCCGGGUGUGCUGACCCCUGCGAUUUCCCCAAGUGCGCGACACUCGACCGUAUCAUUUGUGGUAGCAGAGGACUGCAUUUACAUUUGCCCCUG